CUCGUAGGCGGCCAACUAAGUCGGACGUGAAAUCCCUCGGCUUAACCGGGGAACUGCGUCCGAUACUGGAUGGCUUGAGUUUGGGAGAGGGAUGCGGAAUUCCAGGUGUGGCGGUGAAAUGCGUAGAUAUCUGGAGGAACACCGGUGGCGAAGGCGGCAUCCUGGACCAACACUGACGCUGAUGAGCGAAAGCCAGGGAGCAAACG
rnacentral:rRNA from 1 species